UGCGGUUAAACAAAUAAUGCUACUAUUUUUAUUUGGUUUUUAAUUUUUAGUUAAUAAGAAUUAAUUUUUAUUUAAUUUAAUAUUGGGUGAAAUCCUAUUUUUUUUCAAUUAAAUUUUUGAUUAUGAGGUUAAGAAAUCUAGAUUUUAAACUGGGAUUAGAUACCCCAUUAUUCUAGAUGUUGAUGGUUAAACCUGAUAAAUAUUAGUUAUGUUCUUUAAAAUCAAAAAAUUUGGCGGUUUUUUAUUCCAAUCAGGGGAAUCUGUCCUGUAAUCGAUAAUCCACGAUUAAUAAAACUUUUAUUUUGCUUGUAUAUCGUCGUUGUUAAUUAUUUUUGGAAAUAUAUAAUUAGAAUAUAAGACUAUAUAAAAUAUCAGAUCAAGGUGCAGCUUAUAAAAGUAGAGAUGGAUUACAAUAAAUUUAUUUAAGGAUAAAUUUUAGCAUUAUUAUUUAGAAUUUGGAUUUGAAUGUAAUUUUAGUUAUUAAUUGAGAUGAAUUAGGCUCUAGAAUGUGU
rnacentral:rRNA from 1 species